rnacentral:sRNA from 1 species
GACUAGCCCCGAUGGGAGCGGUAUCCUUUUUUUGCUUUCACAAAUGGCAAAAAAAGAUAGAGCUUCCCGAUAGCUAUCGGGACCUUUU